rnacentral:rRNA from 1 species
GACGCACCGUGCGAGCGUUGUUCGGAAUCACUGGGCUUAAAGGGCGCGUAGGCGGCUUGCCAAGUCAGUGGUGAAAUCCCACAGCUUAACUGUGGAAGUGCCUUUGAUACUGGCGAGCUCGAGGGAGGUAGGGGUAUGUGGAACUUCUGGUGGAGCGGUGAAAUGCGUUGAUAUCAGAAGGAACGCCGGUGGCGAAAGCGACGUACUGGACCUCUUCUGACGCUGAGGCGCGAAAGCUAGGGGAGCAAACGGG